CCGCUGAAUUUAAGCAUAUCAAUAAGCGGAGGAAAAGAAACCAACAGGGAUUCCCCCAGUAACGGCGAGCGAAGCGGGAAUAGCUCGAGCCUUAAAUCUCCGGCGAGCAGCCGGCGAAUUGUAGCCGAGAGAGGCACCUGCGCUCGGUUUGUCGGUCGGCCAAAGUUGACCUGGAAUGGCGCGUCAUAGAGGGUGAGAACCCCGUACGCGGCCGAUUGGCUGCCCAGAUAUUAGGUGUCUUUGCAGAGUCAGGUUGUUUGGGAAUGCAGCCCAAAGUGGGUGGUAAACUCCACCUAAAGCUAAAUAUUAAGCACGAGACCGAUAGCAAACAAGUACC
rnacentral:rRNA from 1 species